UCCUGAUUAGUGGCGAACGGGUGAGUAAUACGUGAGCAAUGUGCCCUUGACUCUGGGAUAAGCGCUGGAAACGGCGUCUAAUACCGGAUACGACGAUCGGAGGCAUCUCCUGGUCGUGGAAAGAAUUUCGGUCAAGGAUCAGCUCACGGCCUAUCAGUUAGUUGGUGAGGUAAUGGCUCACCAAGACGACGACGGGUAGCCGGCCUGAGAGGGUGACCGGCCACACUGGGACUGAGACACGGCCCAGACUCCUACGGGAGGCAGCAGUGGGGAAUAUUGCACAAUGGGCGCAAGCCUGAUGCAGCAACGCCGCGUGAGGGACGAAGGCCUUCGGGUUGUAAACCUCUUUUAGCAGGGAAGAAGCGAAAGUGACGGUACCUGCAGAAAAAGCACCGGCUAACUACGUGCCAGCAGCCGCGGUAAUACGUAGGGUGCAAGCGUUGUCCGGAAUUAUUGGGCGUAAAGAGCUCGUAGGCGGUUUGUCACGUCUGCUGUGAAAACCCGAGGCUCAACCUCGGGCUUGCAGUGGGUACGGGCAGACUAGAGUGCGGUAGGGGAGAUUGGAAUUCCUGGUGUAGCGGUGGAAUGCGCAGAUAUCAGGAGGAACACCGAUGGCGAAGGCAGAUCUCUGGGCCGUAACUGACGCUGAGGAGCGAAAGCAUGGGGAGCAAACAGGCUUAGAUACCCUGGUAGUCCAUGCCGUAAACGUUGGGAACUAGAUGUGGGGACCAUUCCACGGUCUCCGUGUCGUAGCUAACGCAUUAAGUUCCCCGCCUGGGGAGUACGGCCGCAAGGCUAAACUCAAAGGAAUUGACGGGGGCCCGCACAAGCGGCGGAGCAUGCGGAUUAAUUCGAUGCAACGCGAAGAACCUUACCAAGGCUUGACAUAUACGAGAACGCACUGGAGACAGUGAACUCUUUGGACACUCGUAUACAGGUGGUGCAUGGUUGUCGUCAGCUCGUGUCGUGAGAUGUUGGGUUAAGUCCCGCAACGAGCGCAACCCUCGUCCUAUGUUGCCAGCACGUAAUGGUGGGAACUCAUGGGAUACUGCCGGGGUCAACUCGGAGGAAGGUGGGGAUGAGGUCAAAUCAUCAUGCCCCUUAUGUCUUGGGCUUCACGCAUGCUACAAUGGCCGGUACAAUGGGCUGCAAUACCGUAAGGUGGAGCGAAUCCCAAAAAGCCGGUCUCAGUUCGGAUUGAGGUCUGCAACUCGACCUCAUGAAGUCGGAGUCGCUAGUAAUCGUAGAUCAGCAACGCUACGGUGAAUACGUUCCCGGGCCUUGUACACACCGCCCGUCAAGUCAUGAAAGUCGGUAA
rnacentral:rRNA from 1 species